CAUUAUCAAAUAUUAUUAAUGUUGUAAAAUAUAUUGUUCAUUGUUAGUUCAUAUUAGCUAAGGCAUUACCAAAUGUUAAGGAAUAAACUCUUAUAGUAAAGUGUUACUAAAUUUUCUUUUACCAUUUCCUUCACAAUGUCUAUUUAUUUCUAUGGCUAACAGAUUUUGUAACAUUUGUCUUUUUUACAGUCUUACCAUUGCUUGUAAGCUGGAUUGGGUAAGAUGGAUCAUCUUUAAAGGCACCAGGAGUUAAGGCAGAUGUGGAGGCACAACGGGUGAUACCAGACACACACCAAGCACAUUAUGUUCGGACAUUCAAUCAUGACAGGAUCCAGGUGGAUGCUGUCCAUUGAUGAAAGAGUUUGUUCAGCGGUUUCUGGAUAGAAUUAAUUCCAAAGAUGGGAAAAAAUGCACAUCCAGACAAGGAGCAAGCAAAAAGACAAGGAACUUGGUGCAGAGAAAAGCUGUGGCCAUUAACCCCCAUGUGAACAGCUUCAUGCAGUCCCUGAUUGAGUUCGAAUGGACGACUUCAAAGUAAAGGCCACUGUGGUCUGUCUGCCACAGUUUAAUGCAUUUAUUUUUAGUGUUAAAUGAAAUUUAAGUAGAAUAUUUAAAACUAUGGGCCAGUGUUCUUUUUACCACAGUGAAAUGUUACCUUUUAGUCGAUGAUGGACUUUAAACUGAAAACUUCAAACUAUGGAACAGUGUUCUAUUUGCCAGAGUUAAAUAUGUUACAGCAGGGGUCUCCAAACUUGUUUAUACUUGUUGAUUUUAUUUUAUGUUACUUGAUUAUAUGUUUAUUAUUGUUUAAAAUCUUGUUUUAAAUAUGUUUGUUUCAAUUAAAUGUUUUUUUAAAUAAAAUUUUGAUACAUA